rnacentral:rRNA from 1 species
UAGGGAAUAUUGCAAAAUGGGCGAAAGCCCGAUGCAGCAACGCCGCGUGGGCGAUGAAGGCCUUCGGGUCGUAAAGCCCUUUUUGAGGGGAUGAGGAAGGACAGUACCCUCAGAAUAAGCCUCGGCUAACUACGUGCCAGCAGCCGCGGUAAUACGUAGGUGGCAAGCGUUGUCCGGAAUUAUUGGGCGUAAAGAGCAUGUAGGCGGAGAUUUAAGUCUGUUGUGAAAAUGCAGGGCUCAACCCCGUAUUGCGAUGGAAACUGAAUUUCUUGAGUGCAGGAGAGGAAAGGGGAAUUCCCAGUGUAGCGGUGAAAUGCGUAGAUAUUGGGAGGAACACCAGUGGCGAAGGCGCCUUUCUGGACUGUGUCUGACGCUGAGAUGCGAAAGCCAGGGUAGCGAACG